AUGCCCUGGGUAAUGGAGAAGCCGAGCCAGGCUGGGGAUCCUGUCCUGUAGCCGGACCAACACAGUGCCUGACGGCAGACAGCCCCACUCGGAGGAUGACAGCGGUGACGGGGAGCACUGGCGAGACAGCAUCAUCCCUGUGGGAACCGAUUACCAGGCCGUAAUUCCGGAGUGCAAGCCUGAGAGCCCCGCACACUGCAGCAGCAAGGAGCGGAAGGGAUGCUGGUGUGGUCACCCAACCACUGCGUGUCAGAUGCCAAGCUUGGCCGGUAGUACAUUGUGACGGCCAAGGAGAAGCAUGGAGACAACAUUGAGCAGGUGCUGGGCAUGCUCCUGAGGCAUAAGCACAAUGUGGAGAAGUCCCUGGCCCACCUGGCCACCUUCACCACGCUCCCUGACAAGUGGACGGUAGAGGACAAGGUGCUGUUUGAACAGGCCUUUGGCUUCCAUGCCAAGUGUUUCCAGUGGAUCCAGCAGAUGCUGCCUGGCAAGUUGAGAGAGGUACAGAGCACAAAGCUGAUGAACAGCAGCCUGCAUCAAGCCCUGGAGGCGGCAUUGACCCCCUCCGCCCCCUGGAGGCCAACACCAAUUCAGCUCCCGCUGCACCACAGAUGAGCAGCUUUUGGCUGUCCAGGCCAUCUGUAAGUAUGGCAGAGACUUUGCAGGUAUUGCAGCGGUGAUUGGAAACAAGACGCUGACCCAGGUGAAGACCUUUGUGAGCUACCGGUGCUGCUUCAGUCUGGAGGAGGUGCUGCAAGAAUGGGAGGCUGAACAGGAUGGGGUCCCUGGAGGCGCAGUUUCCAUGGAGGAGGCUAGGAGAGGAGCUCCCUUAACAGCCCCAGCUCUAGAGGAAGAUGAUGAGGUCCCGAUUACAUCGGUCUCCAUGUCUGUGCCCUGAUCAGUGCCCCCGGUGCUACCCCCCUCUACCUCCCACCUCGCUGUCCCAGCUGCCUCAUUGCUGAGGCUACCUUUGCCCAUGGCUCCCACUCUGCUCCGACAACCAUCCCCACUGCAGCAGGGUGCUUCCUCCAGCCCCAGCUGGCCCCCAACCAGCCCCCACCGACUCUCAUCUGCCCCACUCUGGCUGCCUCCCACUAUAAUGCCUGUCCUGGCCCUCAGCCCCCACCCACCCUGAUUGGAGCCCCUCUGGAGCCCUUAGGCCCUCACUCUGAGCCCUGAGUCCUCCACCAACCACAGGAUCCAGGACCCCUUUGCUGGACAUCCCCAGGCAUCUCUUGUGCCACUGAGGACAGAAGGGACUAGGGCUCUUGCUGGGUCUUCCCAAGACCCAGAGCUGCCGACAGCCCAGCCCGGACCUGUGGGUUCUGCCUGUGUUCCUGCUAGCUGGGCCGGGGCUCAGGUAACUCUGAGCUGGCCUGAGGGCACUUUUGCUUCCUGGCUGGGAGGGGAAUAGCUGCCUCCUAGUCUGCUGGGGCUUGGCCUCUGGGCCCUGCCCUUUGUGUGUCAAGGGCAGUGACCUUAGCUUGCGGGGUGGGGAGAGGACAGUUGGGUGUGCUGGCUGUUCUCAUUCCUCUUUCCCUUCUUUUAGUAGUAAAUCUGGGGUGAGGUGGGGAGGGGGCUGCAGGGGGGAGGUGGGCAGAGGGGCCUUACAGCAGCAGAGGCUGGAAGGGAGGCUCUGUCUUCAGGGGCCAGCUGGGAAAUGCUAAGGCUCUGAGGGUGCCCACCAAGCUCAUCUUCCAGAAGCUUGGAGAAAUGGGGGUUGGGAACUUAGGAAGACAUAAAUUUAUUUUUCAACAUUUUUUAAAAAUUAAAAAAACUAAAA